UACAGAGGUCUCAAGCGUUGUUCGGAUUCAUUGGGCGUAAAGGGUGCGUAGGUGGUGAUGCAAGUCUGGUGUGAAAUCUCGGAGCUCAACUCCGAAAUUGCACCGGAUACUGCGUGACUCGAGGACUGUAGAGGAGAUCGGAAUUCACGGUGUAGCAGUGAAAUGCGUAGAUAUCGUGAGGAAGACCAGUUGCGAAGGCGGAUCUCUGGGCAGUUCCUGACACUGAGGCACGAAGGCCAGGGGAGCAAACCGG
rnacentral:rRNA from 1 species